GACGAACGCUGGCGGCGUGCUUAACACAUGCAAGUCGAACGGAAAGGCCCCUUUGGGGGUACUCGAGUGGCGAACGGGUGAGUAACACGUGAGUAACCUGCCCUUGACUUCGGGAUAACUUCAGGAAACUGGGGCUAAUACCGGAUAGGAAUCCUUGCUGCAUGGUGGGGGUUGGAAAGCUUCGGCGGUUUUGGAUGGACUCGCGGCUUAUCAGCUUGUUGGUGGGGUAGUGGCUUACCAAGGCUUGGACGGGUAGCCGGCCUGAGAGGGCGACCGGCCACAUUGGGACUGAGAUACGGCCCAGACUCCUACGGGAGGCAGCAGUGGGGAAUAUUGCACAAGGGGCGGAAGCCGGAUGCAGCAACGCCGCGUGCGGGAUGACGGCCUUCGGGUUGUAAACCGCUUUCAGCAGGGGCGAAGCUUGUGGUGACGGUACCUGCAGAAGAAGCACCGGCUAACUACGUG
rnacentral:rRNA from 1 species